rnacentral:rRNA from 1 species
GACGAACGCUGGCGGCGUGCUUAACACAUGCAAGUCGAACGGAAAGGCCCUGCUUUUGUGGGGUGCUCGAGUGGCGAACGGGUGAGUAGCACGUGAGUAACCUGCCCUUGACUUUGGGAUAACUUCAGGAAACUGGGGCUAAUACCGGAUAGGAGCUCCUGCCUCAAGGUGGUGUAACAAAGCUCCGGCGGUUAAGGAUGGGCCCGCGGCAGAUUAGCUUGUUGGUGAGGUAACGGCUUACCAAGGCGACGAUCUGUAGCUGGUCUGAGAGGGCGAUCAGCCACACUGGAACUGAGACACGGUCCAGACUCCUACGGGAGGCAGCAGUGGGGAAUCUUGCGCAAUGGGCGAAAGCCUGACGCAGCAAUGCCGCGUGAGGGAAGACGGCCUUAGGGUUGUAAACCUCUUUCAGCAGGGACGAACACAGACGGUACCUGCAGAAGAAGCCCCGGCUAACUACGUGCCAGCCGCCGCGGUAA